AAACCAACAGGGAUUGCCUCAGUAACGGCGAGUGAAGCGGCAAAAGCUCAAAUUUGAAAUCUAGCACCUUCGGUGUUCGAGUUGUAAUUUGAAGAUGGUAACCUUGGGUUUGGCUCUUGUCUAUGUUCCUUGGAACAGGACGUCAUAGAGGGUGAGAAUCCCGUCUGAUGAGAUGCCCAUUCCUAUGUAAGGUGCUAUCGAAGAGUCGAGUUGUUUGGGAAUGCAGCUCUAAGUGGGUGGUAAAUUCCAUCUAAAGCUAAAUAUUGGCGAGAGACCGAUAGCGAACAAGUACAGUGAUGGAAAGAUGAAAAGAACUUUGAAAAGAGAGUGAAAAAGUACGUGAAAUUGUUGAAAGGGAAGGGCAUUAGAUCAGACUUGGUGUUUUACGAUUAUCUUCUCUUCUUGAGUUGUGCACUCGUAUUUCACUGGGCCAGCAUCGAUUCGGAUGGUAAGAUAAUGACAGUUGAACGUGGCUCCAUUCGUGGAGUGUUAUAGCUUCUGUUGAUAUUGUCUGUCUGGAUCGAGGGCUGCGUCUUUUGACUAGGAUGCUGGCGUAAUGAUCUAAUGCCGC
rnacentral:rRNA from 1 species